AGUAAUGUAUGGGGAUCUGCCCGAUAGAGGGGGGUAACUACUGGAAACGGUGGCUAAUACCGCAUAAUGUCUACGGACCAAAGCAGGGGCUCUUCGGACCUUGCACUAUCGGAUGAACCCAUAUGGGAUUAGCUAGUAGGUGGGGUAAAGGCUCACCUAGGCGACGAUCUCUAGUUGGUCUGAGAGGAUGAUCAGCCACACUGGGACUGAGACACGGCCCAG
rnacentral:rRNA from 1 species